CCUACUGGAGACAGCAGUGGGGAAUAUUGCACCAUGUGGGAAACCCUGAAGCCUCCCCUCCUCUUUCCUUCUUCCUUCUCUCUUUUUUUCCCCCUCUUUUGUUCGUUGAGAAAAUGACGGUACCUGACGAAUAUGCUCCGGAUAACUUCGUUCCAGCAGCCGCGGUAAUACGGAGGGUGCAAGCGUUAUCCGGAUUUACUGGGCGUAAAGCGCGCGUAGGCGGGUUAUAAAGUCAGGUGUGAAAUCCUGGGGCUCAACCGUAGAACUGCAUUUGAAACUGUGAGUCUGGAGUACAGGAGGGGUAGGCGGAAUUCGUGGUGUAGCGGUGAAAUGCGUAGAUAUCACGAGGAACACCGAUUGCGAAGGCGGCUUACUGGAAUGGAACUGACGCUGAGGCUCGAAAGUGUGGGGAGCAAACAGGAUUAGAUACCCUAGUAGUC
rnacentral:rRNA from 1 species